rnacentral:rRNA from 1 species
AUGAACACUGGCGGCGUGCCUAAUACAUGCAAGUCGAGCGAACAGACGAGGAGCUUGCUCCUCUGACGUUAGCGGCGGACGGGUGAGUAACACGUGGAUAACCUACCUAUAAGACUGGGAUAACUUCGGGAAACCGGAGCUAAUACCGGAUAAUAUAUUGAACCGCAUGGUUCAAUAGUGAAAGACGGUUUUGCUGUCACUUAUAGAUGGAUCCGCGCCGCAUUAGCUAGUUGGUAAGGUAACGGCUUACCAAGGCAACGAUGCGUAGCCGACCUGAGAGGGUGAUCGGCCACACUGGAACUGAGACACGGUCCAGACUCCUACGGGAGGCAGCAGUAGGGAAUCUUCCGCAAUGGGCGAAAGCUUGACGGAGCAACGCCGCGUGAGUGAUGAAGGUCUUCGGAUCGUAAAACUCUGUUAUUAGGGAAGAACAAAUGUGUAAGUAACUAUGCACGUCUUGACGGUACCUAAUCAGAAAGCCACGGCUAACUACGUG